rnacentral:rRNA from 1 species
CCUACGGGGGGCAGCAGUGGGGAAUAUUGGACAAUGGGCGAAAGCCUGAUCCAGCCAUGCCGCGUGUGUGAAGAAGGCCUUCGGGUUGUAAAGCACUUUCAGUGGGGAAGAAAGCCUUGGGGCUAAUACCCUCGAGGAAGGACAUCACCCACAGAAGAAGCACCGGCUAACUCCGUGCCAGCAGCCGCGGUAAUACGGAGGGUGCGAGCGUUAAUCGGAAUUACUGGGCGUAAAGCGCGCGUAGGCGGUCUGAUAAGCCGGUUGUGAAAGCCCCGGGCUCAACCUGGGAACGGCAUCCGGAACUGUCAGGCUAGAGUGCAGGAGAGGAAGGUAGAAUUCCCGGUGUAGCGGUGAAAUGCUUAGAGAUCGGGAGGAAUACCAGUGGCGAAGGCGGCCUUCUGGACUGACACUGACGCUGAGGUGCGAAAGCGUGGGUAGCAAACAGGAUUAGAUACCCGUGUAGUC